rnacentral:snRNA from 1 species
CUACUUACCUGGUGCCGGGACCUCAUUGAUCACUGAGGACGAGCCCCCAGGGAGAGGCGCAAGCAUUGCACUGCGCUCUCGUAGACCUCUGCCACUACCCCAAACUGGGACAGAUGGUGCAUGCAAAUUGC